CUCUAAGUGGCCCCAGGGGUUCAGGGAAAGCAGAAAGAUUUGUUGCCCCAGAAUUUAAUUAGAUGCUGCUAUUCACUGUAAGGUGGGGUCUGCUUUAAAUAUGACAGGCAGCUCUUUCAAAACAGCUGGAGGUGGAGAGGAAGGUGGAGGAGUACAGGAUGAGUUUCUUUCUUCAACAAGAGAGAGGGAGUGGGGAGGUGCAUGACACUGAAUCAUAUCUGCACUCUUUUGUAUUGAAAAAUAGACUGAGGAGAGGCUCUGCUCCUGACACAGGCCCUCAGCCAGCGGGUGCCUGGGGAUGUUCAGAGACCAUGAAACCAUCCUGCAUGACUUGCUGCCAUUAGGAGCCUCUCAUGAAGCACUUCUUGCUAGAUUCAGUACUGACAUUGAGAGAAGAUUCAAACCCCAGAAGCUGUCACAGAGUUGUGUUUGGAACUGAUGUGUCCUGAAUGUUCAGUGUAAUUCCCUCUGGUUAAGGUUUUGCCUACGUCACCUUUCAAAAUAUUUAACUUAAAUCUUGACUUGUCAUUGGAUAACUUAUCUGCAGAAUCUUGGUAUCAGGGCUGUUGCAACCAAAACAGACUGAGGAAGUAAUAUAACCAGGUCUGUGAGAAGAAAAAAAACCCUUUAAUAGAUCAACUGUUACACUUUCCAUGGAAAACAUUCAGACUCAAGCUUUUCUUACAGUAAGAACCAGAAAUAACUAAGAAACUUUUGGGAUCUUGCAAUCUCAUUUUGUAAAAAUAUGAAAUUCCUGGAUUCUGGCCACAGAGAUUUGACAAUUUUCAAAGACAUCACUUCCACAGAGUUUCUAUAACAGCUGUAGUGAGGCUUUAUUUAGCCAAAUGCCUGUAAUACAUGUUUAUCUCCCUUGCAGUACUGAGCCAGAUGUCAAGUGGAAGGCUUGGAGUGAUUUUUUUUUAGUUUUUAGAUUGACUGAAACUUUUUUUUGUCUUUCCAGUGUGGUGGUGCAGAAAUCAUUGAGCUGCACUUUGACAUUAAUGGGAAGAUCUCAGAUGGAGCUAAGGGCUGAAAUAGAGGUUGCUAAACAUCAGCAGAGAACCAGGGCUGCUCCUGCUGCCACCCACCUAUCCAGCAUCAUAGAGGAUGGAAGGGCAACAUGAGGGCUGCCUUUGUCAGUUCCUUGGCUGCAGGUUAAGAAAGUUGAAUUAAAAAUAUAGGCUAUAGCCACGUAGAAAAUAUGCAGAGAUCUACAUGAAACUACCCAGUAAUCUGGGCAGUUGCCUUUUUAAGAAUGGCAUUUUGCUUUACAUGCAUUUUAGACUGAAUUGAGUGACUCCUCCACUCGCUCCAAAAAAGGUACCCAGUAUCAAGUCUCAGUGAUUCUGUUUUCUCAACUUCAGAAAACUCACAGAUGUUUGAGAAGCAACAACCAAAAAAAUAGACUGAAAAAUCAGCUCUUCGAAGACCUUCAAGACAGAGGCCUUCAAAAUCACUAAUUCACUUUUCCUAAAUGUCUGCAAUAAAGAAGAGACUUUCAGAUUCA
ensembl:lncRNA